AGGUGAUGAUAAUGGUGAUGAUGAUGAUGGUGGGUGGUAAUGAUGAUGGUGAUUGUGAUGAUCACCAUCAUCACAUUAACUACCAUA